UCGCCUCUUUGAAGUCGGAAUCGCUAGUAAUCGCAGAUCAGCAUGUUGCGGUGGAUACGUUCCCGGGUCUUGUACACACCGCCCGUCAAACCAUGAGAGUCACCAACACCCGAAGUCCGCCUUGGCGGCCUAAGGUGGGGGAGAUGAUUGGGGUUAAGUCGUAACAAGGUACC
rnacentral:rRNA from 1 species